rnacentral:miRNA from 1 species
AGGCAGUGUAUUUAGAAGAUUUGA